GCGGACUACGAGCGGGGCCUGUGCAUGUUUCUCGGGUGCCCGCGUCUGUUACUGGGAAUUCCUUGCUCAGCUUUCCCAGCCUUGCUGCCUCUAGCUUAGUCUGGCUGCUGUUAAGGCCGGUGAGAGUGCUGGUGUAGACAGGGCUCCAGGGAUUGCUGGCACUUCUGUCUGAUUAAUUCAGGGAAGUCCUGUGGCCUGUGCUAUGCAGGAAAUCAAACAAGAUGAUCACAAUGGUCCCUUUGGGCCUUGGAAUCUCUGAAUUACUUCAAUCACCGUGUCAUCUUACCUUGCUCAGAGCAGGCCUACAUGAUUUCGGGGCAAAUCCAGCUUGUGCACAUGAAAAAUACUGGAUCCAUUUUGUACAUCUCCUUGGAUGAAGUUGUGUCCAGUGAGAUUAGCUGAUUCCCUUUGGCCAAAAUUCCUAAAGAGCACAAAACAUAAAAAUACAGAAAGCCCGGAGUUAAGUUUUCUUUCAGAAACUUUAGAAAUCAUUUCCCCUUUCAUACAUACUAUUUUAAGGAUUACAC